AUUUGGUGAUGAGGACAAGUGGCACAUAACUUGUUGAAUCUCUCCCAAUACUCAUACAAAGUUUCACCAUUUUGCUACUUUAUUUCACAAAUCUCUUUUUUAAUU
rfam:Cajanus cajan Scaffold133327_1, whole genome shotgun sequence.